GCAUUUAGUUGGUUAGAGCGCCGUACUUAUAAUGCGGAGGUCGAGAGUUCGAGCCUCUCUCGGAGCA
rnacentral:tRNA from 1 species